GAUGAACGCUGGCGGCGUGCUUAACACAUGCAAGUCGAACGGAAAGGCUCCUGCUUGCAGGGGUACUCGAGUGGCGAACGGGUGAGUAACACGUGGGUGAUCUGCCCUGCACUUCGGGAUAGGCCUGGGAAACUGGGUCUAAUACCGGAUAGGACCACAUUUUGGAUGGUGUGGUGGAAAGUUUUUCGGUGUGGGAUGAGCUCGCGGCCUAUCAGCUUGUUGGUGGGGUAAUGGCCUACCAAGGCGCCGACGGGUAGCCGGCCUGAGAGGGUGUACGGCCACAUUGGGACUGAGAUACGGCCCAGACUCCUACGGGAGGCAGCAGUGGGGAAUAUUGCACAAUGGGCGCAAGCCUGAUGCAGCGACGCCGCGUGGGGGAUGACGGCCUUCGGGUUGUAAACUCCUUUCGCUAGGGACGAAGCGCAAGUGACGGUACCUGGAGAAGAAGCACCGGCUAACUACGUG
rnacentral:rRNA from 1 species